rnacentral:rRNA from 1 species
GACAGAGGGUGCAAACGUUGUUCGGAAUUACUGGGCGUAAAGCGCGUGUAGGCUGCCUUGCAAGUCGGGUGUGAAAGCCCUGGGCUCAACCUAGGAAGUGCACUCGAAACUGCAAGGCUGGAGUCCUGGAGAGGAAGGCGGAAUUCUCGGUGUAGAGGUGAAAUUCGUAGAUAUCGAGAGGAACACCGGUGGCGAAGGCGGCCUUCUGGACAGUGACUGACGCUGAGACGCGAAGGCGUGGGGAGCAAACAGG